CAGUAGCCGCGGUAAUACAGAGGGUGCGAGCGUUAAUCGGAUUUACUGGGCGUAAAGCGUGCGUAGGCGGCUUCUUAAGUCGGAUGUGAAAUCCCUGAGCUUAACUUAGGAAUUGCAUUCGAUACUGGGAAGCUAGAGUAUGGGAGAGGAUGGUAGAAUUCCAGGUGUAGCGGUGAAAUGCGUAGAGAUCUGGAGGAAUACCGAUGGCGAAGGCAGCCAUCUGGCCUAAUACUGACGCUGAGGUACGAAAGCAUGGGGAGCAAACAGGAUUAGAGACCCCCGUAGUCCAUGUCUCUUAUAC
rnacentral:rRNA from 1 species